ACAACAGCCAAACCACGGCUAUUUCUGUCCCUUACCUUGCAGUCUUUGCAUCACAUUGGUAAUGUCCCGAGAAGCCCUCGAGGCUGUCCUGGAGGCUGCCAUGGCCCCACCUUGGCGUGGAACCAGCCCUGGAGACUCUUCGACUGACUAACGCAGUGCAGCCCUACGCCACUCCAGAAAGCAUACUUGAACUUCUCCAGAUCCACUGAGUCAUGGACAAGCCCCAGGCUCUCACAGCAGCCAGCAAGGAGAUCUCCAGAGAUCCAACCAGCUCUUUUUCGUCCUCUGCUUCAAGAUUAUCCUCUUAAAUAAACUCAGGCACCUGAAAACCAAAGAGAAAAGGGUGUAUUUCAGGUUGACAAGUCAAAGUUCCAGGAAGCUCAGUUAGCAAGCCCAGGAGGAGAGAGGAUGCAAGACUGAAAAAGAACAGCGAGCAGCAGCUGAGCCCAGCAGUAGAGGAGCUGUGCAGGUAUUAUUUCCCCAAACUGGUCAUUCCUUCACAUCCUGGCUGAACAAGUGGUUAAUCACCCCUUCACAGUCUCAGCUGAACAAAUCCGAGAGACGGCUGCACCUCACCCAGGACCCACACUCUGCACGAAGCCGUGAGGUCAGUACACUUUCAGCAAUACCCCCCAUGCCUCCAGCGCCACCCCUCCGCACUAGGACAGGUAUGAUGAUAUUUGUCACCAGUUAGUCUGACCUCCCUCUAACAGAAAUUUGUAUUUCUGGUUUACUGGAUCAAGUUCGUAGUUCCUCGCCUCUAUAGGACACUCCCCAGAAGACGCCUUCCUUCUCACUGCAAAAGGAGUUGAUGCAACAUCCUUCCCUUUUUAGACUUAAGAUCAAAUAUUUUGCUUUCAACAUUCAUGUAGACAUAUAUUUCCCAUCUUGUGAAAUUAUGAUAGUCUUGCUUUUCACAGGUACUUAAACUUAAAGGGACAGAUGAUUUGAUAAGAAAUUUCAAACACAU
rnacentral:lncRNA from 1 species